CCUUCCGCCCCGCGCCCAGACAGGAAGUCCCGGGCGCCCGCCCCGGAGAGCGGCCGCGGCCCGCGGCGCGGGGGACACCUGAGGCAGGGAGUCGUCCCGGGGGCCGCGGCUGGGACGAGGCCCCUCGGCAGGAAGACGCACGUUUCACGCUCUGCGGAAGAGAAGUCUGCAGUCGUCCCCACGCUAGAAGAGAGCCAUUAAUCAAAUUUUCUUUCUGGAAGAGCUCUAAUGCCCAGUCCCGCAGCUGGACGGAAAGGUGGCUAAUUAAUUAACUUGUUGGGCUGUGUCAAAGCGUAGGCUGCGUGUAAGCCUUGAAAGCUUACACUUGAAAGCGCUGCGCUGUAAAACACGCAUACCAACCCCAAAAGUCAUACCUACAAAAUAUUACCAAGGCUUUCCUGGGACAAAGUAAGGGGCUUCCAACCACUCUCGGGGACCGACUUCGCCCUCUUCCCUCUACAGAGGUAUGGAAAAGCACACCAGACAGGUGUUUAUUAGCAAACAGAACAUGCCAACCUCUGCGAGACUCGAUUAUCCUCCCCCAGUUGGCUAGCCAUGACAUUUAUGUACCCUCUUAGAUUUCUAUUUGGCUCGCUCGGAAACAAGCGAACGUAUUCACUUACAUCGUCAUCUACUUUUAAAGAUCUUUUUGAUAAAACUAACCUUAUUACAAAUAACGUACAUAUUAAAUACAGUAGACGCGGGAGCUAGAUUGCCGUUUAGUGACUAGAGACUUACUGACAACACAGGAAACCAAGCCUAUAAAAUGACCCAGAUGAAGCUUCAUUAAAACAAACACAAAAAAUGCUUCCCUGGGUUCAAAAUUACAUAAUAUAAGACAAACUGAAACAAAAGGUUGCCUAUGGUUGUUUGUCCACAAAACAGUGCCUCCUACAGAAUAAGUGUUCAAAAAGUUACUUGCUGAAUAAACACAAAAAAGAUUUGGUCGUUACAAAUUUUAAAUAACAAGGUGUAAUUUUUAUGACUUAAAUUGAAUGAACGGUGAUGGUAACUAGAGAAAAAAAAUGUCUCCAGUGGUAAUAUUGAUCCUACAUCGUUUUACCAAUGUUUGCCCAACAUGUGCAACUUCAGAGUUGAUUCCACAGCCCAUGACUUGGCUUUUUUCAUUUCUUCUUAAUACUCAUUUAUUCUUUUGGGCCUUUCCCCUAGCCCUAGCACCAUGAUCCCCAGCUUCCCAAAAAAGAACCCAUAGGCCAUUUCCAAAGCACAGCCCCCCUGAAACCAAACAGGGAUCUCUUCCUUGUGUUAGGUAAACUUGCCACCUAUUAGACAAAAGAAACUGUAUGACUGGUAGCUUUUAUUUUUUAUUUCUAGUCAAUUUAAAAUAAGGAUCAUCCAUUGACCGGCAGCAUCGUAAACUGAGACAGUUUGCAGGCUGAACUUAAUGACUCACUUCUAACAAAGAACAGAGCUGAAGUGACGGUGUGACUGCAGAAACUGUCUGCUUGAUCUCUGGCUUUGGGUCACUCAGAGGAAGCCAACUGCCCAUUAGGCAAGGAACAAUGGCACCCUGCCAACAGUCAUGCAACUGAACUCUCUAGGACACAAACCCUCCAGCCCUAAUCAAGCCUUCAGAUGAUUCCAGCUUCAUGGAAGAUCCUGAGUUACAAACCAUGCAACUUCUGCACCUAUCCACUGAAAAGUUCUUCAAAGGUCAACAUCAGCUUAUAAUUGCCAAGCCCAGCGAUCUCUUCCUAGUUUUCACCUGACUCUACCUCUCCAAACAAAUGAAAUUAUUGAUGACCCCUUAUUAAACUCCUUCCCUUCAUAUGAUUUUCAUGACAAUAAACUGUCUGGCUUUGUUUUUUUCCUGUUGACUUCGCCUACUUUGGCACAACCCUCAAAUGUGACUGUUCUUCCAAAGCAUGUGCCUUAGCCACUUUCUCUCUUCAUUCUCCACUCUCUCAAGAAUGGUAGUUAGUAUCCAUUCACCACCAGGGCUUUCAAUAUGAUUUGUGAACUGACUCAAAAAUCAACAUCUCUAGGCUUGACUUAUUAUUGUUUUCUUAAGUGCUACGUUCUAAUUUCCAAUUGUACAGUAAACGUCUUUAUUUGGAUAACCCACUGAUACCUAAAGGUCUUUUAUCUACAAAUCUCCUUUGUUUCCUCUAUCAAUAACAUCACCUUCAUCCCAAGCUAGAAAUCUUGAGUCAUCUGUGUUCCUUGUUUAGGAAGUCAUCUCUUGUACAGUUUUUGAGGAGGAUUUUAAAUGUAUAUGAAAUUACCAAAAAAAAAAAUAUAACAAACAGUCACGACCCCCACAUCCAGAACAAACAACUGUUAUCAUUUUGUCAUCUAUACUUGAAGGUGCUGUUUUUCCCUAAGAAAUAACACAUUACAUGUGGAGAUAAUUACAUCUUUGAGAACUACCCCCAGUCCUCAUUCACCAUUCUAUCUCUCCAAAGAAACCACUAUCAUGAGUUUUGUGUAUAUUCUUCCAGUCUAUGUUUUACACUUUUAUGUUCUCACAUGUGUGUACAUUUAUGCAUGUGUGUGUGUGCAUGUAUCCCAGAAUGACAUACAGUAUUACUUUGCAUGCUUUGGGUACAUAAAUGACAUUAUACUAUAUAUGCCAUUCUAAAAUUUAUUUUUUUCAUUCAAGAUUCAUAUUCUAUCCAUGUUGGUAUAAGUAAAUAUAGCUAUGCUUUUUACAUACUUCAAAUUAUCCCAGUGCAUACAUACACCCCAUUUUGUUCAAAAACUUAUCUACUGAUAGGCAAAUAAAGUUGUUUCCAUUUUUCACUUUUAUAAACAAUGCUGCAAAAAAUUCUUAUCUAUUUUUUCUUAAGCACGUAUGCUAGAGUCUCUCCACAGUAUACACCUACAGAGAGAAUUUUUAGGUCACAGAAUAAGUGCAUUUUAAAUUCAUAUGUUACUCUUUCCAAAGUAGCUAUGUUGGUCUAAAAUCCCACUAGUGAUGUGUUAGUGCUCCCAUUCUUCUUACAUUCUUGUCAAUACAAGAUAUAAUCAAACUUUAAAAAUAGGGCUUCCCUGGUGGCGCAGUGGUUGAGAAUCCGCCUGCCGAUGCAGGGGACACGGGUUCGUGCCCCGGUCCAGGAAGAUCCCACAUGCCGCGGAGCAGCUGGGCCCGUGAGCCAUGGCCGCAGAGCCUGUGCGUCCGGAGCCUGUGCUCCGCAACGGGAGAGGCCACAACGGUGAGAGGCCCACAUAUCACAAAAACAAAACAAAAAAUGUUUGCCAUCUGUUGGACGGCAGGAAAUUUUUCACUGUUGUAUUAAUUUGCAUGUACUUAGUAAGUACUGAGGAUAAACAUUUUUUUCAUAUACUUAUUGGCCAUUAACAUUUCCCCUGUGAAUUUCCUAUUCAUAUCCUCUGUCAUUUUUCUAUGACACUUUUUUGGUCUUACUUAUCUGUAGAAUGUUAACAUACACUAGACAAUAAUUCAGAUAUGUGUUCCAACUAUCUUCUGUCAGUCUGCUGUUUGACUUUUACUUUGGUUGGUCUAUGGUAUCCUCUAUCCUACAAAAAUUUUAAGUUUUGAUCCAGCCAAAUUAAUAUGUGCUUUCCCUUACAGUGUAUGUUAAAUAGCCCAUGCAAUAAAAAGGAAAUCAUAAAGGAACUGAGAAAUGUUUAGAAAUGAAUUACAAUAAAAAUACAACAUGUCAAACUAUAUGUGACACGGCUAAAACAGUACUCAGAUGCCAGGAAAUGAAAAGGUUUAAAAAUAUA